UGGCUACGAGAACGAACGCUGGCGGCGCGUUUAAGCAUGCAAGUCGAGCGGCAAGGGCCUUCGGGCCCCUAGAGCGGCGGACGGGUGAGUAACACGUGGACAAUCUGCCCCCCGGCCCGGGAUAGCCCAGGGAAACCUGGAUUAAUACCGGAUGAGACGGGACCCGCGAUGGCGGGAUCCGGGAAAGGCGCUGCGGCGCCGCCGGGGGAUGAGUCUGCGUCCCAUUAGCUAGACGGCGGGGUAACGGCCCACCGUGGCGACGAUGGGUAGCCGGCCUGAGAGGGUGACGGCCACAUUGGAACUGAGACACGGUCCAGACUCCUACGGGAGGCAGCAGCUAAGAAUCUUCCGCAAUGGGCGAAAGCCUGACGGAGCGACGCCCGCGUGAACGAAGAAGGCCGUGAGGUUGUAAAGUUCUUUUCGGGAGGGGGAACAACCGUGGCAGGGAAUGGCCGCGGGAUGACGUGAAUCCCGGAAUAAGCCCCGGCUAACUACGUGCCAGCCGCAGC
rnacentral:rRNA from 1 species